rnacentral:snRNA from 1 species
GGCUGUGUGGGUGAUUUGGCUGUGACAUCUGUCACCCCACUGAUUCAGCUGAUCUGGCUGGCUAGGCAGGUGUCCCCUGCCUCCCUCACCACUCCAUGUGCUUCCCUCCCAAAGCUGUAUGUUUGGUGGAUGAGGCGGGCCAUCCAAGGAGUAUCAUGAUCUUUGGUCAAGGGUAUAGGAUAUUUGUGCUUCCCCCACUACAACCUCCAAACAAGCUCAAGGAUUUAAUAAACAUUAUCAGUAUCUAUAAAGAUAUUGCUAAUUAAGGUACAAUACUAUGCA